GCGGGCGUGGUGUAACGGCUGCACAAGAGCCUUCCAAGCUCUUAGUGAGGGUUCAACUCCCUCCGCCCGCU
rnacentral:tRNA from 1 species